GGAGAGGGUGCAGCUCAGUGGUAGAGCGUGUGCUUAUCAUGCACGAGGUCCUGGGUUCAAUCCCCAGUACCUCCA
rnacentral:tRNA from 1 species